ensembl:lncRNA
GGGCUACAAGAAUUCUAAGAUUACAAGGUUUUGCAGUCCCACAUGAUAACUUGAGGAUGUUCCCCACCCACCACUGGCUGAAAUGUCCCUCAUUCACUCAAAAAUACUAGCAGGUGAGAAUAGUUCCUUAGUCCUCAUUGGUAAUCAAGGUGAAAAAAAAAAUCUCAAUUUAAGAAGAAAAACUAUGUCAUACUUUUCUUCAGUUUUCCUUCAUUUUAAAUUAAAUUUCAGUUAAAGCCCGUUCUGUAUGUAAGCAGCUUGAAAAUGGCUACUGUGUCUUAACUAACAAACUCUAAACUGAUGGAAAAAACUCCAGUUUAUUUUGGAUCCAGAAGAAGUGAAGACCUAGGGCAAAGUGCUGCUGCUAAGAUCAAAGAGACAGACAGGGAUUCAGUGAAGCUGCCUGGGGUACCCAGAUUCAAACGUAGAUGCCGGCACACAGCAGGAGGAAGAGGACACCAAAGCCCAUGAAGAGCAAGGCCUCCAGAGAGAUGAGGCAUCUACCUGAUGGAGAAGAACAUGCAAGUGGUCAGAUGGGGGAAGACAGCUGGGUUGACUUGGCCGGUGUAUCUGCUCAGGGCCUUGAGCUCCAUCUCGCCAACACAGGCUACACUGCCAGGACUGCGCAUUUUUAUUCCCAGCACUCAAGAGACUAAGGCAGGAGGGUCCUAAAUUCAAGCCCAGUCUGGGCAACUUGGUGACUUAGCAAGACCCUGACUCAAAAUACAAAAAUCUGUUUUAUGGUAUGAGUUAUAAUGUCUCCUCUUUUAUUAUGAUUUUAUUUGAGACUUCUCCCUUUUCACUCUCACCAAAGGUUUGUCCAUCUUGUUUACAUUUUAAAACAAAAAACUUCUAGUUCAAUUGAUCAUUUUUUCUUAGUCUCUAUUUCAUUAUUUCUGCUCUUACCUUUAUAUCUUCUUUCCCUCUACCAGCUGUGACCUUAGUUGUUUUUUUCACUAGUUCCUUGAGGUAUAAAAGUUAAAUUGAUCAUCUGAGGUCUUUGCUUUUUCUUUUAUAGGCACUGACCACAAUAAACUGCCCUCUCAGAAUUGGUUUUACUGCAUUUAUAAGUUUUGGUAUGUUGCGUUUUCAUCUUUAUUUGUCUUAAGAUAUUUCAAAUUUUUCCCCUUUUUUUUGAUUCACUGGUUGUUCAGGAGGAUGUGAUUUAAUUUCCACAUAAUUGUGAAUUUCUAGGGUUUUUUCCUGUUAUUGAUUUCUAGUUUGAUACCAUUAUUGCUACAUAUAUUUGAUACUAUUUCAAUCUUAACUAUGUUAAGACUUAGUUUGUGGCCUAACAUUUAAUCUAUCCUAGAGAAUACACUUGAAAAUAAUGCAUAUUCUUCUAUUGUUGGAAUGUCUAUAAAUUAAUAUUAAAUCCAUUUCAUUUAAGGUGUGCCUCAAGUCCAACAUUGCCUUAUUUUCCCUCUGAAUUAUUUAUUGUCUUAUUACUUAUGCCUUAUUUUCUGUCUGAAUUGUCCAAAGAGGUAUUGAAAUCCUUAUUAUUAUACUACAGUCUAUUUCUCCCUCAAAAUUUCCUUUAUAUAUUUUGCUCCUAUGAUGUUGGCUGCAUAUAUGUCUACAAUUGUUAUAUACUCUUGAUGAAUUUACCCUCUUAACAUUGUGUAAGGUCUUUCUUGUCUUUUGAUACAGUUUUUUAUUUAAAGUCUAUUUUUUUCUGAUCUCAGUGCAGCUACUUAUAUUAUCUUUGGGUUGCCAUUUGCAGGAAAUAUCUUUUUCUAUCCCUUCAUUUACAUUCUAUGUACCCUUAAAGCUGAAGUGAGUCUCUUGUGGAUAGCACAUAGUUGGGACCUUAAAACAAAUCUAUUUUGCCACCUUUUGAUUGAAAAAAUUGGUGCAUUUAUAUUUAAAGAAACUAUUGGUAGGUGAGGACAUACUGCUGUCUUUCUGUUAAUUGCUUUCCAAUUUUUUGGUAGAUUUUUGGUCCUUUCCUCUGCUAUUAUCUUCCUUAGUGAUUUGAUGAUUUUCUUUAAUUCCUUCCUCUUUAUCUUUUGUAGAUAUAAUACAGGUUUUUGCUUUGUAGUAACAAUGAAGCUUGCAUGAAAUAUGAU